GUGCCAGCAGCCGCGGUUAUACCGGCAGCCCGAGUGAUGGCCGAUCUUAUUGGGCCUAAAGCGUCCGUAGCUGGCCGCGCAAGUCCAUCGGGAAAUCCACCCGCUCAACAGGUGGGCGCCCGGUGGAAACUGUGCGGCUUGGGACCGGAAGGCGCGACGGGUACGUCCGGGGUAGGAGUGAAAUCCCGUAAUCCUGGACGGACCGCCGGUGGCGAAAGCGCCUCGGGAGGACGGACCCGACAGUGAGGGACGAAAGCCAGGGUCUCGAACCGGAUUAGAUACCCCGGUAGUCC
rnacentral:rRNA from 1 species